UACAAGUGAGUAGUGCUAAAAUAAAAAGUCCAAUCCUAACGGAUCGGAUAUUUCAAUGAAUUGAGCUUAAAUAGCUCUAUGAGGACCUAAUGGAGGGCAAGUCUGGUGCCAGCAGCCGCGUAAUUCCAGCUCCAUUAGUGUACAUCGAUAUUGCCUGCGUUUAAAAAGCUCGUAGUUUGAUCUGGGUUGCAUGCGUUGAUACUCCUUUGGAGGUUAUCUUCGCUGCAGCUAAACUGCUGGUUAUCUGCAGGUGUUUUCGGACCCUGUAGCGGCUACGGGGAUUACUAACACAAAAUCAAAUAGCUUAGAUAAGGGUCUGCUGAAAUGUUCUAUGCUGGAAUAAUGGAAAAGGACUUCGGUCUUGUUUAUUGGCUCCUAGUUCGACGUAAUGAUUAAUAGAGACGAUUCGGGGCUGUUCGUAUCAUUACGCGAGGGGUGAAAUCCGUUGACCGUAGUGAGACGUCCAAAAGCGAAAGCUUUCAUGCAAGAACGUCUUCAUUAAUCAAGAAC
rnacentral:rRNA from 1 species